AGUGAACGCUGGCGGUAGGCCUAACACAUGCAAGUCGAACGGCAGCACAGUAAGAGCUUGCUCUUACGGGUGGCGAGUGGCGGACGGGUGAGGAAUACAUCGGAAUCUACUUUUUCGUGGGGGAUAACGUAGGGAAACUUACGCUAAUACCGCAUACGACCUACGGGUGAAAGCAGGGGAUCUUCGGACCUUGCGCGAUUGAAUGAGCCGAUGUCGGAUUGGCUAGUUGGCGGGGUAAAGGCCCACCAAGGCGACGAUCCGUAGCUGGUCUGAGAGGAUGAUCAGCCACACUGGAACUGAGACACGGUCCAGACUCCUACGGGAGGCAGCAGUGGGGAAUAUUGGACAAUGGGCGCAAGCCUGAUCCAGCCAUACCGCGUGGGUGAAGAAGGCCUUCGGGUUGUAAAGCCCUUUUGUUGGGAAAGAAAAGCAGCAGGUUAAUACCCCGCUGUUCCGACGGUACCCAAAGAAUAAGCACCGGCUAACUUCGUG
rnacentral:rRNA from 1 species